rnacentral:tRNA from 1 species
GCCCCGUUAGCUCAGCCCGGCAGAGCACCGGACUUUUAAUCCGGGUGUCCUGGGUUCGAAUCCCAGACGGGGCAC